rnacentral:rRNA from 1 species
ACGGCUCAGUAACACGUAGUCAACCUAACCUAUGGACGGGAAUAACCUCGGGAAACUGAGAAUAAUGCCCGAUAGAACACUAUACCUGGAAUGGUUUGUGUUCCAAAUGAUUUAUCGCCAUAGGAUGGGACUGCGGCCCAUCAGUUUGUUGGUGAGGUAAUGGCCCACCAAGACUAUUACAGGUACGGGCUCUGAGAGGAGUAGCCCGGAGAUGGGUACUGAGACACGGACCCAGGCCCUAUGGGGCGCAGCAGGCGAGAAAACUUUGCAAUGUGCGAAAGCACGACAAGGUUAAUCCGAGUGAUUUGUGCUAAACGAAUCUUUUGUUAGUCCUAGAAGCAUUAACGAAUAAGGGGUGGGCAAGUUCUGGUGUCAGCCGCCGCGGUAAAACCAGCACCUCAAGUGGUCAGGAUGAUUAUUGGGCCUAAAGCAUCCGUAGCCGGCUCUGUAAGUUUUCGGUUAAAUCUGUACGCUUAACGUACAGGCUGCCGGGAAUACUGCAGAGCUAGGGAGUGGGGGAGGUAGACGGUACUCGGUAGGAAGUGGUAAAAUGCUUUGAUCUAUCGAUGACCACCUGUGGCGAAGGCGGUCUACCAGAACACGUCCGACGGUGAGGGAUGAAAGCUGGGGGAGCAAACCGGAUUAGAUACCCGGGUAGUCCCAGCUGUAAACUAUGCAAACUCAGUGAUGCAUUGGCUUGUGGCCAAUGCAGUGCUGCAGGGAAGCCGUUAAGUUUGCCGCCUGGGAAGUACGUACGCAAGUAUGAAACUUAAAGGAAUUGGCGGGGGAGCAC